rfam:Picea glauca, whole genome shotgun sequence.
GGGUGCAAUCAUACGAGCGUUAAUGCGUCGGAUCCCAUCAGAACUCCACAGUGAAGCGCGCUUGGGCUAGAGUAGUACUGGGAUGGGUGACCUCCUGGGAAGUCCUAGUGUUGCACCCU